CAGAGGGUGCGAGCGUUAAUCGGAAUUACUGGGCGUAAAGCGCACGUAGGCGGCUUGGUAUGUCGGGUGUGAAAUCCCCGGGCUCAACCUGGGAACUGCACCCGAAACUGCCUUGCUCGAGUAUGGGAGAGGGAAGUGGAAUUUCCGGUGUAGCGGUGAAAUGCGUAGAUAUCGGAAGGAACAUCAGUGGCGAAGGCGACUUCCUGGACCAAUACUGACGCUCAGGUGCGAAAGCGUGGGGAGCAAACAGGAUUAGAUACCCUGGUAGUCCACGCCCUAAACGAUGAGAACUGGAUGUCGGGAGGGUCUGCCUUCCGGUGUCGUAGCUAACGCGUUAAGUUCUCCGCCUGGGAAGUACGGCCGCAAGGUUG
rnacentral:rRNA from 1 species